GUUUUUAUCAUUGGCUCUGCGCCUUCUCUACGUCUUCCGUUCUCUGUAUUCCACACUCGUGGCGAGGAAUCGCUCACGAUGAGAGGAAAGUGGAGGAAGAAGCGUAUGAGGAGGCUGAAGCGGAAGAGGAGGAAGAUGAGGGCAAGGUCUAAGUAAGACAGAAUUGCGCCAUCACCAAGUACAAGUCGGUUUCUGCGUAACGCGAGACUCCUGGCGAGUACCAUCCGGGACAUCGGGUACCUCGCAUCCGCUGGUCACGAGACCAACCAAUGUUUUGGAUGCCGACCUGUGCUUUCUGAAAUACAACCUCGUCACUCCACUGUU